AGACCCGAAACCCGGUGAUCUAGCCAUGGGCAGGUUGAAGGUUGGGUAACACUAACUGGAGGACCGAACCGACUAAUGUUGAAAAAUUAGCGGAUGACCUGUGGCUGGGGGUGAAAGGCCAAUCAAACCGGGAGAUAGCUGGUUCUCCCCGAAAGCUAUUUAGGUAGCGCCUCGUGAAUUCAUCUCCGGGGGUAGAGCACUGUUUCGGCUAGGGGGCCAUCCCGGCUUACCAACCCGAUGCAAACUGCGAAUACCGGAGAAUGUUAUCACGGGAGACACACGGCGGGUGCUAACGUCCGUCGUGAAGAGGGAAACAACCCAGACCGCCAGCUAAGGUCCCAAAGUCAUGGUUAAGUGGGAAACGAUGUGGGAAGGCCCAGACAGCCAGGAUGUUGGCUUAGAAGCAGCCAUCAUUUAAAGAAAGCGUAAUAGCUCACUGGUCGAGUCGGCCUGCGCGGAAGAUGUAACGGGGCUAAACCAUGCACCGAAGCUGCGGCAGCGACGCUGAUGCGUUGUUGGGUAGGGGAGCGUUCUGUAAGCCUGCGAAGGUGGCCUGUGAGGGUUGCUGGAGGUAUCAGAAGUGCGAAUGCUGACAUAAGUAACGAUAAAGCGGGUGAAAAGCCCGCUCGCCGGAAGACCAAGGGUUCCUGUCCAACGUUAAUCGGGGCAGGGUGAGUCGACCCCUAAGGCGAGGCCGAAAGGCGUAGUCGAUGGGAAACGGGUUAAUAUUCCCGUACUUGGUGUUACUGCGAAGGGGGGACGGAGAAGGCUAUGUUGGCCGGGCGACGGUUGUCCCGGUUUAAGCGUGUAGGUGUGUGUUCCAGGUAAAUCCGGUUCACUUUAACACUGAGGCGUGACGACGAGGCACUACGGUGCUGAAGCAACAAAUGCCCUGCUUCCAGGAAAAGCCUCUAAGCAUCAGGUAACAUCAAAUCGUACCCCAAACCGACACAGGUGGUCAGGUAGAGAAUACCAAGGCGCUUGAGAGAACUCGGGUGAAGGAACUAGGCAAAAUGGUGCCGUAACUUCGGGAGAAGGCACGCUGACACGUAGGUGAAGUGAUUUACUCAUGGAGCUGAAGUCAGUCGAAGAUACCAGCUGGCUGCAACUGUUUAUUAAAAACACAGCACUGUGCAAACACGAAAGUGGACGUAUACGGUGUGACGCCUGCCCGGUGCCGGAAGGUUAAUUGAUGGGGUCAGCGCAAGCGAAGCUCCUGAUCGAAGCCCCGGUAAACGGCGGCCGUAACUAUAACGGUCCUAAGGUAGCGAAAUUCCUUGUCGGGUAAGUUCCGACCUGCACGAAUGGCGUAAUGAUGGCCAGGCUGUCUCCACCCGAGACUCAGUGAAAUUGAACUCGCUGUGAAGAUGCAGUGUACCCGCGGCAAGACGGAAAGACCCCGUGAACCUUUACUAUAGCUUGACACUGAACAUUGAGCCUUGAUGUGUAGGAUAGGUGGGAGGCUUUGAA
rnacentral:rRNA from 1 species